rnacentral:lncRNA from 1 species
AUGAUUUGAGAUGAGGAAGAACUUAUCAACCAAGCAAAUAAAUUAAUUCAAAACAACAAGUGGAUCGCCAAAAGAAACAAAAAAUGAUUAAAAAUGAUUUAAUAAUGAAUAAUAAAAUAAAAUAAAAUAGAAAGUGUCAAAGAGGUAUCAAAAUACAAAAUAAAAGUCCAAGAAAAAUAGAGAAGGUCAACAAAAUUAUAAAUGACUUGACCUCAAAAGUUGGGAUGAAAAAUGUUUUAAAAUGAUUAAAAUAAAAAUGUUAAAUGAAAAUUAAAUGAAAAGUAAAAGAAAAUAUGAAUAAAAUGCAAAAUGAUUUAAAAAAUUAUGUAAAAUUUAUAUGUGGUAUAUACUAUUUUUAUGAGAUUAUGGAAAAAAUUGGUUUAAAAAAUGAUAAAGGAACUAAUUAAAAUGAAUUUUGGAUAAAAAAAGGAAUUAAAUAAAAUAAAAAAAUAAAAUAAAACAUUUGAAUGUAACGACUAGGUUGGGUGACGCGUUCUGAUUUGCCAGGGAUUCAAAUUUUCCCUCUAAAGCGCACAAAGCACUUCAUCUUCAACCUCAGAAUUUGUGAUUUUUGAAACUCAGAAACUUGGAGUUUUAACUCAAACACUAUGCGUGCAAGCUUCUACUACCA